UACAGAGGCGGCAAGCGUUGUUCGGAAUUACUGGGCGUAAAGGGCGCGUAGGCGGCCUUCUAAGUCAGACGUGAAAUCCCCAGGCUUAACUUGGGAACUGCGUCUGAUACUGGAAGGCUUGAGUGCGGGAGAGGGAUGUGGAAUUCCAGGUGUAGCGGUGAAAUGCGUAGAUAUCUGGAGGAACACCGGUGGCGAAGGCGGCAUCCUGGACCGACACUGACGCUGAGGCGCGAAAAGCUAGGGGAGCAACGGGG
rnacentral:rRNA from 1 species